rnacentral:rRNA from 1 species
UACGUAGGGUCCGGGCGUUGUCCGGAAUUAUUGGGCGUAAAGGGCUCGUAGGCGGUCUGUCGCGUCGGGAGUGAAAACUUACGGCUUAACUGUGAGCGUGCUUCCGAUACGGGCAGACUUGAGGUAUUCAGGGGAGAACGGAAUUCCUGGUGUAGCGGUGAAAUGCGCAGAUAUCAGGAGGAACACCGGUGGCGAAGGCGGUUCUCUGGGAAUAUCCUGACGCUGAGGAGCGAAAGUGUGGGGAGCGAACAGG